AGUAGUAGUUUGAUAAAAUAACUUUUUGGUUUUUGGCCAGGGGCUUGUCCACUCAUGGAGCUGAUGAAACUCUCAAAGGAAAAAGACUUAAAUUGCUGUCGAUGGGUGUGGACUACAUACAGUGCAGCGACUGUUCAUACUUAAGAGUUAAAUCAAAGCUGUGUUUGUCUGUUCUGAGCGUAAUAAUUUUGCCAGGCUGUUACUCUAUCUGAUGGCAAACAGUGGAGGACGUAUGGGUGCUGCUACACCGACUGUGGUGAUGAAGAGUGGCAAUGUCACUCAACCCGAACACUCUGUACAAGACAGAAUAGAAGAAAGAUUGUGAAGUUUCGUCAUAAUCAGAGGUGUAUUUGUGGGAAUUGAGCAACGAUGCCUACAGAGCCCAAGAAUGUCUGCUACAGGGAGAUACCACAGUUUACUAGGUGUACAGGAGGACUGCAGCUGCUUCAGAACCAACCAUCAUACAUGGUGAAUCAUGCUGCCUGGAAGCUCAAGGAAGGUACAUGUGGGGUUCUACCUCCCAAACUGGGAGCUGG